GGAGGCGGCGGACGUUUGAAUUUCGGGGCGGGCUGAGGCGGCGCUGCCGUUACUGCGCGAGGCUGAGGGGCGCGGACCGUGAGGGGCGCGCGGAGCCGAAAGGAUUAAAGGAGCCGCGGUCAUGUCCCAGGAGUGCGGCGAUGAGUGGGAGCUGAGCAAGGAGAAUGUGCAGCCCCUCAGGCAGGGGCGGGUGAUGUCCAGCUUGCAGGAGGCGCUGGCUCAGCAGGACUCCUCCAGCCACACCGCUGUGCAGCUCAAAAAACAAGAAUUUGAAUCAGAAAUCCGAUUUUACUCUGGAGAUGACCCUCUGGAUGUGUGGGACCGGUACAUCAAGUGGACAGAGCAGACCUUCCCCCAGGGUGGGAAAGAUGGAAAUCUCGCAGCAGUUUUGGAAAGGGCAGUGAAAGCCCUCAAUGAGCAGCAGCGAUACUACAAAGAUCCUCGCUAUCUUAGUCUCUGGCUCAAGUUUGGCAAUUGCUGUCACGAGCCCUUGGAUCUGUACAGUUACCUGCGCAGCCAGGAGAUUGGCACCACGCUGGCACUGCUCUACAUCACCUGGGCAGAGGCACUGGAGGCCAGAGGGAACUUCAAGAAAGCAGAUCUGAUAUUCCAGGAAGGGCUUCAGCGCAAGGCUGAGCCUUUGGACAAACUCCAGUCCCAUCACAGGCAGUUUCAGGCCCGCGUUUCUCGGCAGGCACUACUGGCACUUGAGGAAAGUCCAGAUGGAAAAGAUACAGGUCUGCUGGAAAUUGCAGAGCCUCAGAGAAGCUCAUUGGCAGAUCUCAAAGGCAGGGGGAAGAAAAAAGUGAGAGCACCCAUUAGUCGUGUGGGAGAUGCAGUUAAAGCCACAAACCCAAACAGAAGCGUCCAGCCUCUAACUUCUCUGCAGAUUUCAAAUACUCCGGGUUUUGCUGUGUUUGAUGAAAAUUCAGCGUCUGUAGACGAGAUUCCCACGCUUACAGCACAGUCAUGGGCAGCACCUCCAGCUCCCAGGGCCAAGGAGAAUGAACUCAGUGCAGGACCUUGGAACUCUGGCAGGCGUCCUCGCAGCACCACCAAUCCUGGCGUGGCAGUGCCUGGCCCCCUGCCCAGCUUCACCCCCUACGUGGACGAGUCAGCUCAGCCUCAAAUGAUGACUCCGUGCAAAAUCGAGCCCAGCAUAAACCGCGUGCUGAGCGCUCGCAAACCUGAGAAGGAGGACCCGCUGCAGCGAGUGCAGCACCAUCAGCAGGACACUGAGGAGAAGAGAGAGAUGGUGAUGUACUGCAAGGACAAGGUUUAUGCUGGAGUCGAUGAAUUCUCUUUGGAAGAGAUUCGAGCUGAAAUCUACAGGAAGAAGGCGAAAAAGAAAACUGAAGAGGAAAUGCAAGCCAUAGCACAGAAGAAGGAAGAAAUACAAAGGCAAAUUGAGGAGCUGGAGAAGAAAAUAAAGAAGAAAGAAGAUCACAAGCAGCAACAACCACAUGAACAGGCAGCAGAGACAAGGGAAGCUUUGGCACCUUUGGGACCACAAGGAUUUACUUCUUCCAGUGCAACAGAAGUUGGGGAGAAGCAGCUUCAGUGGCAAAGUGAGUUCCAGGUCUGUGAAGAUACUCAAAUACAUAAACCAUCUUGUCAUGAGGAGGUUAUCCCGACUCGUGAUGUAUCUUCAGACACCGACAGUGGAAAUGUGUUUUUAGACCCUGAGGAGGAACAGAGAGAUGAGGCCAGCCUUCCAAAAGAAGAUGUGAGUCUGCUUCCCCCACUGGCUCCUGCUCCGGUUUUCUCUAUAUUUGAUGAAUCCUCUACUUUAACAAAUCAGAAUAUAAGUUGUUCUGCAGAUCAUACCCAGAAAAGUGCCCGUCGCCCACUUGCCUCUCUGACAGCAAAGGAAAACGUCUCACCAGAAGCCUGUGAUGAGCUGAAUGGAAUCGAAGCUUUGACUGAGGAUGCAAUUGUGACAGGCUCCUACAAGAACAAACCCCUUUGUGCCAACCCAGAAGACACAUGUGACUUUAACAGGGCUGCCCACCUGGCCUCGACGCCCUUCCACGGGCUGGGAGCUCAGAGAGUCCCAGCUCCUGCUUUCUCCCAGAGUGGCCUGAAGGAGGAUAGUCCAGAAUCCAAGAGUGCACCUCUGGAUCAGGAAACACCAGUGUGUGAGGGAGCGUACAGCGAAGCUCUGUGUGUAAAUAAACUGAGCCCAAUCAUGGAAGCAAGCCUGGAAGACACUCGCUCGUCAGGUUCUUCAGUCUCAGGAGGUUCUCUGUCCUCUGUUACACAAACAUCUGCUAUUAAAUACCUGCGUGUCCCUGAGAAACUGGAGCUGGCUCAGAGCCUGCCUGCUGAAACAGGUCCUGAUGCUGGAGGUGUCUGUGGAAAUGCUCCUGCAGAGAGGUGCAGUACAGAAUGUUUGUCAGCAUCCAAAACAUGGGAUGAUGUGGCUCAGUUCCUAUGGAGUGCUGAGCAGCGUAAAAAGCUCUUGGAUCCUGUGCCAGAAUCACUGGCUGCUUCUCCAGAUUUUUACUUGGAGCCUGGAGCUCUGCCUGGCAUGGAGGUUGAGAAGGACAUUGAGCUGGGGCAUGAGACUUACUGCAUCAAAUGGGAAUACUGGAGCAAUGAAGAAUACAAAAUGUUUUUUGCCGUUCCAGCAAACCUUUUCCAGUUGGAUGCAAAGGGAUUUGCAAUAAAGGUGUAUUCUCAGCCUGUGCCUUGGGAUUUUUAUAUCACCCUUGAGUUACAGAGGCGUUUGAAGGCUGACUUUGACCAGAGCUUCAGUGAGAGCUGCAGCUGUCACCUGUACCGGGAUGGCUGUGCCGUGGUGCACAGGGACAUCAACCGCUUCACGCUCGGGGAUGUUAUCCGUGGCCGCAAGUCCAUCACAGAGGAAGUCAUCUUCCUGGUUGUUUAUAAUCUUCUGGGUGUGGUAGAGAAGCUGCACAAGGCUGAGAUUGUCCAUGGAGAUCUGAGGCCAGAGGUGUUCUUUCUGGGAGACAGGAUCUGUGAUGCCUUUGCUAACGAGGACAUGGCAAGUGCUCUGAAGGUGGUGGAUUUCUCUCACAGUCUGGAUUUGAGGUUGCAGUCUCGAGUGAGCUUGUGCAACAGCUUUCCCAUAUCUCAGACCCCUCAUGGGCAGCAGCUUCUGGCAGCAAGUUCUCUUCCUUAUCAGGUAGACUUGGUUGGCAUUGCAGAUAUAGUCCAUUUGAUGCUGUUUGGGGAUCAUAUCCAGGUCUAUCAGGAGAAUUCCAUCUGGAAAAUCAGCCAAAACUUACCAAAGACUGUUGACAGUGAUUUCUGGAGUAAACUUUUUGGGAGAAUUCUGAAUGCAGAUGGUAAGUCCACAGCGCCUCUGCUGCGGGAGCUGAGAGAGGAAAUCGGUGACAUGUUUGACAGCUGUUUCCAAGAACGACUUUGUGAGUCCUUAGCUGCUCUGGGAGUAACCUUCCUCCUCUAGAAUUUCCUGUGACUUCAUAGAGGACAAGCACACCUUGUAUUAUAGAGAAGAAUUUGUUGUUGAUUUCUUAUUUAUUUUUUUUAAAUGUAAGCAUGACAGUGAUUGCAGCUGUGUCUGCUGUGCUUCACAUGGGACUUGCUAAAGGAUGUUUCUGUUGCAUCAGUGCCCAGAUCACUUAAGAGGCUUAGGAGGUUAACCUGUGUCUGAGCAGUUUGCCAGAGAAAAUUGUUUGUCAUGUCUGCCCCCUCCCCUUGUACAGCUCCUUCAAGAUGUGUUUUAUGCCUAGUUCACACCGCGCUCUUUGGAGUGGCUUUGUCCUACGUUCAGUUGGCCUUUCAAUUAGUGUUUGAUCAAUAAAGUUGUCUUUGGAUAGCAACUCAGUCACAUUAAACACUGCUGUCAGAUGGUUUUGAAAGACUGGGUUUAGUGCUGGAGUUGCUGGGGAUGUUUUGUGGCUGCUGGAUACAAGACCCCCCCGUUUGGUGGCUCAUAACCACGUGGCAUUUCCCGGACACUGGAACAUAACCUGAAUGGUUCUACUUGGAAUAUGCUCUCAUGGAUGAUUGUCAUAAGAAAAAGUAGAUGAAGACAUGAGUGGAAAAGCCACACACUUAAUUUUGGCUUCUUAAGGCAAGUGUUUUGUUUACUUUUGCAAGGGCUGCAGUUCCUGAUUGGAUUUGAGCAUCCUCCAGAAAUCUCCCUGAAGUCUCAAUUUGCCAUAAGUGAAGUGUUUGCAGGUUUUUGUGGGAGGUUUUGUGGAUAGAUAUUUGUGUUAACCUUUUAUACAUUGUAUUACUGAAACCAAUACAAAGGCUUCAUUUUAUUCAAGACAACAGAAUUUACAGGAUCCAAACCCAACGUACUGUGUACUUUAAACGUAGAGAAACUCCUCAGACUUGGGAUUUACUUCCUCACAGAUUCUGCCACGCAUGGAAGUGAGAGCACAUGACUGCAUCACCAGGAACUUUCAUCUUCCUGGAAAGCCAAACUGGCUGGGUUCUUUCAUUUGGUUCAAUUGUCCAGCCAUGGUUCUGCUGAUUCUCCUGUUUGUGUUGUCUCCAAAUUCUGUUCUGGAACUUAAUUCUGUUUUUUUCACAUGGCUACAAGCCACCUUGUUUCCAGUUUUUUCUGCCUAUUCCAGCACUACUCCUCUUGCUUUGGCCUGUAUUUUUUUCCUCUCCCAGCUUCCUAAUGCCUUUUAUAUGCUCUUGUAAGUCAGGAAUGGGACCUAAAUGCCCUGAUAGACCAGCUUUAAUAUCUAAUGUAAACUGCUGCAGAAGAAUUUAUUUUGGUCCAUUAAUGCCUUAAAUAAUGUUUCUUGUAGUACAAGUCAUUGAUAAGUCAUGUACUGAGCACGCAGAUAAAUAAUGAUUUAUCUCUAGCCAGAGUUAAGAGCCCAAGAUCACUGGUAGAGCAGCAAGGAGUCCAGUGCAUAGCUAAGUUCUGCGAGCUCUAAAAACAUUGCAUGUUUGUUCUUUAGCUGAAAUUUAUUUUCUUUUGCUGAUCCUCUAACUUUUGCCUUUUAGGCAAAAUCUGGGAGGGUCUCACUUCCUCCUGUUUCAGUUUAUAUCCUGCAGCACAGGUCUGAAAACCAGGUAGCUUAGGAAGAGAACAUUGCUAAGCAAGUAUCGCUCAUCCCAAGGACUUCUUGGGCAAGACAUGUUUCCAGCCAGUACAGAACAACUUCACCAUGUCUAAUUCAGACAGAAAGCUUUUGAGAACAGCCUGAACGCAGAGAUAAGAGCUCUCAGCAGAAGUUCAGCAAAGGUCUUUAAAAGCUGUAAGUCUCUGCUCCCCCAGCCUACGAGCUCAUUGCACCAACAUGUACCAGGAGGACAGGGAGGUCUUCUUUUGACAUCCUUGUUGUAUGUUCAAGUAACUCCGCCUCCAACCUUCAAAGCUUUUCCUAAGCAUCACUUUUGAAUCAUUGUGUAACAGGCAGAUGCUCUCGCAGGCUGGGAUUGUCACAGACUUGUCACGAAACAGGAGAGAGACCAGCCUUGCCCAUGAGAUAUUUGGAGAUGAAAAUUGUCUUAGCAGUGUCCAAGGAAAAGAGGCAACUACAGAUCCUGGGAUGACAGGAAGUGCCACAGGGGGUGGCUGGCAGGGUGAAAUGUGGGAAGGGUGUACAAGUCCUAGUCAGGUUAUCACAAAACAAUAUGGUGAUGGAAUCUGAGCUCUAGUGAGUUUGAAUACACUGCUAUAUAAAUAAAAGUGCACCAAGGAAAAUAAAUCCAAGGAAGCAAUAGAUCAUGGUUGUACCAGGUUGUUUGAGAAUAAAACUUGACCAGAGAUACAGCAGGGAUGUCUGGAAGAUCUCUGCAGUCUUGAAGUGCUUUGAUUCAGAAACAGUGAGUGAAUCAAGCUUUUAAAGUCCACUCUAUUGUGUUAACUGGAAAGGGGUCUAGAAAUAAUGGCAGGAAGUCACCAAGCCACAAAAAUAUGCAACCUAUAAAAAAAUGGAGGCUGAUUGAGCUGUGGGUGAGGCAACCCCCCCAGGUGUGAGCCAUUUUCUGCACUUAAGCUCUGGCAGCUGCAGCUGGGGUUGGAGAAGGUGGUUCCACUGUCUCCAGGGCUCCUGGGGAAUCAGUGCCCACACACAGGUGCUCCAGGUGACCUCUGAGUGUCAGGGAGUGGAACCACCAAUGGUGGGACAGAACCUAACGAUUUUCCAAGGUACACCUGCACAUGGUUAAAUAUAGUGUGAGCUGAGACCAACUUUACCUCUGAAGAGAUCGUUAUAAGGAAGCUUAAGGAAGGCUGAGGAGCCCUCAUCAUCUUCUGGUCGCAAAAGGUAUGUGAUUUUUAGAGUUAAAAUCCCAAGUCUGACAUAAUUGAUAAAACUUAUCAGAUAUAUUCUGAGUGCAGUUAUCUGAGAUUUUCCCAGCCUGAGAUCUGUGUUAUAUAGAUUAGGAGGUGUAAGCUUGGGCUUGUGCUAGCAGGUAAUACUUGGCUUUUUGAUUUUCCAGAAUGAACUAGAAGGGGUAGGAAACUCAGCAGGGCUACAAGGAUCUCGUGUGGUGAUGCAGGGAGAAAACUAGAAGGGCCAAAGCCCAGUUAAAACUUAACCUGAGUACUGCAGUAAAAACAUAAAAACAACAGGACAAACAACAAAAGGAGGGCUGAGGAGAAUCUAUGAAGGGUGUUGGGGCACCCUCAGUAAGAAGUGGUUGAGUCACUAUUCCUGGAAGGAUUUAAAGGAUAUGUAGAGGUGGCACUUGGGGAUGUGGUUUGGUGGUGGGCUUGGCAGUGCUGGUUGGGCUCUUAGAGGUCUUUUCCCACCUUAAUGAUUCUGUUAUUCAAAGUAGACAAAUCACCCCUCCUGCAUGUGUAUCAGCAAGUAAUUCUAAACCAUUCCUCUGUGCUGCUGCUGAUUUCCCACUUAAUAAAUAUUCCAAAUGACCUGGGGCUGAAGUGCAGCUCCUAAGGUGCUGUGCUCCAGGCUGUGCCCCAUGAUUUCCCCUGAGGAAACCUGUGUACAGAAGAUGAGAGUUCUUAUUCUAAGAGAGUUAUUUGGCUGUGGGCUGCAGAACUGCUGCUUAGAGUCUCUGCUUUAGCCUGGGGCUAUGGGCACUGCAUUUACAUUAACUUAUAUGUCUGCUUAUACAGACUGCCCUUAAAGCUGGAUAAAGGACACUUUACCAGCUUCAUUCGCUGGGUUCUUACUGAUUUACACUCACUGCCCCUCUGCUUGGUUAAUCCAGCAGAAUGCCAUGGUUGGAAACUUAGAAAUACGAAGGUUUCAUUUCCAUAACAUUUUAAAUUAUUAAACAACAUGUGGAUAUUGAGGUCACUAAGUAAGACUGGGGAAAAAUGAUGUUCCUUUUGUUGGUUCUAUAAAUGGUUGUUUCCUACUCUCCUUUUGUAAUAAUUACCAUCCAGAGCUAUUUAAUUAUUGAUCCCGUGGCUCCAGCUGGUGUGGCAGUGUGAUUUACAAGGUAGGAGCAGCACCUGAGGGACACAAAGGCAACUGUCAGUGUUCAGGUUCUGGGCCUGAGCUGAUGGUUGUUUUCCCAGUGCUUUGGAUUCUCCUCAGUUUUCAGGAUCUUGAGUUAUGUGGUUCUUUGAAGCUAAACUAGUCAUGUACUUUGAUGUAGUGUGGUACUCUAUGUAAUCAUUCACUCGGGAAUAAUUUUGUAGGGAAAAAAAUGUUGGAAUAGUGCAAAACUCAGUGGUGAACGUGGCUUGUUGGUGUGUUCCCUUAGUAUCUGGUCAAAACAACCAGUAAAGGCACUGGGCCGUUCUGCCCCAUCUGCAGCUGCUCCUGAAGAGCCACCUUGGGUUGGUGCUUUACCUGUGUGUGAACUGAACCGGCUGCAACUUGUCCUCUCCUGAGCCUGUUCCCUUGGUUCCCAGCCCAGCCCUCCUGAUACCCUUUGAGAGAACAAUGGCAGAGGGCACCCCUUGUUUCAGUGGCACAUCCCCUUCUCCUGCUGUUUGUAGGGAACUAGGGACGGCUUUUCCUCAUGCAGAUUUACUGGAGCCACAGUCUUUUAUCUUAGAAACUCUGGCUUAGAUCCCGUCUAAAAGCAGCAGGUUUUUAUCAAGAUGUAAAACAACUGUCAGCUGGGAGGAGUCCUGACUGGCCUGAACCAGAAACCUUACUCUCAGCUGUGAAAGCAGUCUCUGAUUUGCUUAACAUGGGCAACGUGUAACAGGAAAAGUCCAUUUUUUAUGCAAUUAGAAAAGUUAUUAUUCCUCCUUAUGUCCUGGAAAAGCACAUUUUUCACUUGGGGAGUUGGACAACAAUGGAAAACUCUCUAUGAUCCUGUUCUCAGCUCUUUGAACACAUAAUUCCCACGCAGCUGAACAUGGGAGCCACCUUCACUGCAUUUCUGAGCAUUCAUUUCUGCUCUACAUGUGCUCCAUGCACCAAGUCCAAAAUGGUGUUUUCCUUCCUUUCAGCUGAACUGAGGAGGCUUUUAUCCAAGUCAGCAGUACAUAUGUCCACACAUCAGAACAUUCUCAAUUAUAAGCUGAAGUUUCUGCGGGCUUUCACUAUAUGGCACAUUCUUCACUGUCUUAAACUUUAUUGUGGUUUCCAUGGUGAUCUUUCCUGAUGCAUCCCCAGCCUUUCCUACAGGAUGCUCAGCAGUGUGGGUGGAGUGGGAAAGGCAGAACAACUGCUGUGUGAGGAGGAACACACUGGUGCAUCGGAUGAGGCUUAUGGAAAAGAGUUACUUUUCCAGUUUCCCUAAUAAGUACACACUGGUCCUCUUGAAAUGGGAGACAGCAAAUUAGGAAACGCUGUUUGAGUAGUUGGCCUUGUUGAAAAGGAGAGAUGAGAGCCCUGCUUCUCCUGACUUUUCCUACCAUUUCGUUACAGUAAAAGCCAACCUGUUGGGUGCUGAGCUGUGGGUGCUUUAGCAAAGCCCUUGUAAUGCUUUUGUAGUUUUGUUAGACAAAGAGGGUUCCAGACUGAGGACAAACCUUCCCCUGCCCACUGCUCCUGGCUCUGCAUGAGAGACUGGACAGGUCAUGGAAGUUUGGGGUUUGCUCAUUUAUAAAACUGGUAUUGUACUUUUACAUAUAUUUUUCUUACCUACAUAUGCAUAUUUAUAAAUUUUUUGUUUCUGCCGAGGAGAAAUGGCUCAUAAAACCAAGGUAACACUACACUUAGUUGCUGCUUUUCCUCACCUGCUUUGGGAUGGGAAACUUCUGUGGCUCCCUACCACAGUGAUGCUUCUGGGCAGUUGAAAUGCGCAAUGCAACCAGUAAUAUGGCACCAAAAUAGGCUUGGUAUUGAUUAGUAUCCAGAGACUAAAACAGGGAAAGCAUUGCUCUGCCUGGUGCUGUUGUUUAAAGCUGGAGUGUAGCUGUUCCACCAGCUGCCAAGAUCCAAGCUGUUUUCUUUGAAAACCUAAGGGAUUUUUUAACUUUUACACUGAAUUUUGGGCCUUGACCUGUAUCUUGGUGAAUAAUUCUUAGCAUCCAACUUCUGGGAUGUCACUCUCCUGUCAGAUUUUGGUGUGAUGGAUGGUUGCAUGUUUGGUUUGGGUGCCACACACAUAAAUAAUACUCCUUUGAUGUCUAUGGUAGCUUUCCUGUCCUGGUCUUAAACCACCCUUUUAUUCCAUGUGCAUUUUAAAAUUAUUAUUUUUGUUCCUGUCAAAGUUUAUAAUCCUCCAUUUCUUCUCUCUUCUGUGUUUUGCAAUUUUCAUAUGUGCUAAAUGUUUCCUUCUCUGAGGGUUGGGGUGAUGUGCAGUGGCACCUCCAUAGCCAGGGCCAAGGCAGCCAGUCCCAGGAGCUGCACUCUGCCCCCGGGGUCCCUCCAGCUCUGCAUGUUCUGUGAUCCCAGGAGUUACUGCAGAGCCUUUCAAGAAACCAGACUUUCUGUGACUCCAGAAGCCAGGCUCUGUCCUCCCACAAGUGUAUCUUAGUGAUGCUGCAGAGUUUUUUGGGGGUAGAAGUUACUACACAGACACAGUUAUUUGCCCUCAAAAGCAGUGAGGAGCUGGAAAGCUGAAUCCAGCUCUAAUGAAUGAAAUCCCAAAGCUGGCAGCAUUCAGCACUUUCAUGAGCUGGGGAUAUUUUCUAGCAAGAAAAUUAUUUUCUGAGACUUGUUGACAGAAACAUCAGGAAUGGAUCUGCUGCCUUUGUCUCCACCCACCCCAGCCAAGAGUGGGGGGAGAGAAGCAGCUCUUUAUAAAUAGCUCUGUUCCUGUUGUAUUUGUAAAUUCGGUGCUUUUUGUGUCAGUGACAUCACCCUCUUCUCCAUGGCAACCCCCUCCGAUGGCAAAACUGCAGGGCACUGCCAGAGGAACUCAAACCAGCACAUGAACAGGUUGAAUCGAGAUGAGUUAAUUGAGAAAUAGUGCAGGGGCAACAGGAGGGGGUGGGAAACAGCAGCAAGGAGGUUACUGCCAGCUCUGCUGCUCCAGAAAACUGUCCCUGGAAUGGCUGGUUCCCAAAGCUCUGCCCCAUCUCCUCUUUGUGUAAGUCCCUGUCAGGAGGAGGCAGGUGGAAGGCAGGCAGGCAUCUUAUUCCCCAUCUCCUGUGUGUCUGGAGAGCAGCACUACAGGUGACUAAGCAGGAGGAGCAUGGCUGACUCACUCCUGAGUUAUUUUCUCACUCCUGUUCUCUUCCCCCUCCCAUCUUUUCUGUUUGUUUUUUAGCUUUCACCCGACAGUUUGCAUUUUUCCCCAGGCCCUGAUGUGAAAGAAUUAGCAGCAGGCUUUCUUGUUACCUAAUGUUCACAAAAAUGUGCUUGUGGUUAUCCAUGGGGGAAAUGGAAGCCAACUCCAAAAGCAAGAAAAAAGAAUUCUCUGGAUAAAACACCUUCAUCUUAAAA